rnacentral:lncRNA from 1 species
AUGUGUGUGUGUGUGUGUGUGCAUGUGGCUGUGUCCAGGCCUGAGCACGCACCUUCUAAUGCCAGGGUCCUCGCUCAGGAGCUCUGGUGGGCCGAAAAGCUGGGGAUUCCUGGAUUUGCCGGCCAAAGUGUACUGGGGAGCAGCACCCGUGAGGGGCCCGGGUUUGCAGCAGAGGCUGCCGGGAUCUGCCCGGAACUCGGGAGCUGGGACAGACCUUUGCAGAAUCGUGUUGAUAUACCUGAGUUCAUCAACGACCCAGUGUGCGCAAGUGCUGCUCCAACCUGUGGUGUGGACAAGGAGACAAUCGGAGGAUUCUGUCCCUUUGUCCCAGUCUCAAGACCGACGUAUGCGCUGGCUGCCACCCCAAGUUGUCAACUUUAUUUUCUCUGCAGCCAAGGACCAGGGAGGGCAUUUUCUGCGGUCAUACCCUGGGCAGAGAGGACCAGUGCCACCUGGUCCCAGCCCAGCAAAGGGCCCGAAGACACAUUCGUGGGCCCUUGGAGGCUAGGCUUGAGGGGAGGCUCAUGUGCCUCAGUCUUUGGGCGCCAGUGGACGAUUCCUUAGAACAGCUGUGGUCCCAGUUCUGUGUCCUCCGAGAGAGGAGGGAGGUGGCGGAGGAAGUCUGUACCCCUCUGGCACUCACGGCUCCCCACUUCCCCGGUCUUUUUGAGGCUUGCACCCCACUGACUCCUGAGACGUCUAAAGUUUGGACAGAGCAAUGCCGGAAAACUCCCUUCAGCAGCCUCGGCCGAGAGCAGGUGGUCCCUUUCGUGUGUGACUCGGGGGUGCAGGGAUGAGCUGCCUCGAGGCUGGAGGGGCACGGAGAGGUCGCGGAAAGUCUGCUGCCAGCCCUUGUGCCAGGGUCCCAGCCUGGCCUGGGACCACAGGGGCCUGGCAGAGGGGCAACAGCUCUGAUCCUGCCUUCGAUGCGUGUGAGUGUGCGUCCGCGGUUGUGUGCGCAUGUGUGAGCGGGAGCGUGAACGUGUUAGUGUGUGUUUCAGCAGGUGUGAAAGACUGCGUGGGCGAGCGUGGGUGUCAGUGGGGGUCGAGCAUGCGGGAAGGUGCGUGAACGCAGGAGCGUGUGCGUGCGGCUUAGGGCGAGAGCCUGGGCAGCGCGGCCUUCGAGGGAGGCUGGCGGGCCGCCUUGCGGUACAUCCGCCCCGGCCCAGCGCCCCCCGCCCCGCGUCUCAAGCCCCAGGCAGGGCCCUGGAGUCCGGCCGCGGGCGAGCCGGCCUCCGGCUCCUGCGUCCCCGGCCCGCAGCCGCAGGU